GACGAACGCUGGCGGCGUGCUUAACACAUGCAAGUCGAACGGAAAGGCCCUGCUUUCGUGGGGUGCUCGAGUGGCGAACGGGGGAGUAACACGUGAGUAACCUGCUCUUGACUUUGGGAUAACUUCAGGAAACUGGGGCUAAUACCGGAUAGGAGCUCCUGCUCCAUGGUGGGGGUUGGAACGUUUCGGCGGGUGGGGAUGGACUCGCGGCUGAUCAGCUUGCUGGUGGGGUAGUGGCUUACCAAGGGUUUGACGGGUAGCCGGCCUGAGAGGGUGGCCGGCGACAAUGGGACUACGGUACGGACCAGAGUCGUACGGGAGGCAGCAGUGGGGAAUAUGGCACAGUGGGCGGAAGCCUGAGGCAGCAACGCCGGGUGCGGGAUGACGGCCUGCGGGUUGUAAACCGCUGUCGCCUGUGACGAAGCGGGAGUGACGGUAAUGGGUGAAGAAGCACCGGCUAACUACGUG
rnacentral:rRNA from 1 species